rnacentral:lncRNA from 1 species
GAUAAUCACCAGCGGCUUGUUGUUGCAUCUGCAUGCCAGCACUGCUACUGCCCUUCUCGUCAUCUCAUGUUCCUGCCAUAUUGUGCGCCACCGAUCAUCACCAGCGGCUUGCUGCUGCAUCUGCACGCCAGCACUGAUGCUGCCCUUCUCGUCAUCUAAUGCUCCUGCCGUAUUGUGCGCCACCGAUCAUCACCGGCGGCUUGCUGCUGCAUCUGCGUGCCAUGUAAAAAGAUGUGAUCCGUGUGAGCUUAAUUCAAAUGUUACGACUCGGUCAGCCAAGCUAUUAUUGUAUCAAUUAAAGAAACUUGAUUCAGAUUAGAAGUACCUAAGCCGCACCUUCCUUAAGCCGCACCUGUUUUCAAUUUAUCACACAUAUUUUUCUUUAAGUUUGAAUUUGGCGCCACUUGGUUGCUUGUCACGCUCCACCACUGCCGCUAUGACUGCUCCAGGGAAGUGAACAUAUUUUUGAAUUGGAUGUCAAACCAAGAAGACCAAGCAUAGAAUCUUGACUACAAACAAAGUAAGGCAAGAAAUGUCAGCACCUAAUGCUCCAGCCAAACUUGACUCACAAAUAAGUUCUAAUUUCAGAUAGACUAGAGAGCUAUGUGUGCGGUGUUUUCUUCGUCCACACCAUUUGGUUUACUCUAAUACUAGACCACGAAGGCACACGUUGUCGCACUCGUCCAUCUUGAUACAAGGUAUAAUAAAUAUUAGCAAAAGCUUGAGUGGACAAACAUUUUGCAAUUUGUAUUGUUCUAAUUACUGUACCCUCGUAUUGUUCGAAUUACUCGAAUUAUAGUGCAACAAUGUUGGUAGUUAAUUGGGCAAAAUAUUCACACUAUAGCUAGUCCGCGUUGGUCCAUGCACCCGGAAGGACAAAGAGCUUGGUGUUCAAGUUGUGGGAGUUGUGCAGAAUGUGGACUGAUUGCAGACACAUGUCAAGGUUGUUCUGUAGAUCCCACCCAUACUAUCAGAUCAGCUAAAACAAAGCCGCCCAAUUUCAGUCGAGGGAGUUAAAAGUAGGAACAUAAACCAUAGCAGUAGUAUAAGGGGCUCAUGGAGAGUAAGAAGAACCAGUGCCUAUUAAGUUCCAAGUGGACUCGCCGUGCAUUGACUGAAAAUAGCUCAUGUGCCAAGAUAGUAAGCUAAUACAUAUUUAUAUUGUUUGUGAUAAAUCGAACCUUCAUUUCUCGGGCCUAGUUUAAGAUAAUUCGAUGAUCUGAACGUAUUAGUAUUCCCACUAAAACAUCUCAUGAGAAAAAAAAGUGGAAAUCAGAAAGCACCAGCACUGCAAGAUGAUGGAUUAGUUGAACUCGUCAACAAAAAGGAAACUCCCGAGAAGCAUCAGGAUGGCAAAAUGAUGGGUCCAUCCAUUCCAUUUGCUGACUUACCACGGCAUAUCCUCAAAUGGCUUGGAUAAGAUCAGUGAGGGCCCACCGGUGCCAGCGGCAUGCCUCUAGGACAAGCUGAAAAUAAAACAACAAAACUUAUCAUCAUAUUAUUGUAUGCCAGUGAUGAAACUUGCAUGGAUCCACAUACUGAAUCUAAAGGUUUAUAACGUUAUGUUUUUGUUCUGCUAUUCAGAUUGGCCAAACACAUGGGAACGACCAUAGUUAAUUAUGUCAACACAUGGGAACGACCUGGUCAAGAGGGAAUUGUCAUUUUAGCAUGUGGAGAACGAUUAAUUAUGCCAACACGACCAUAGUUAAACACUUAACAACACUGGACAGCCUUUAGAACAAAAAAACUGGACAAGAAUGAUCUACACUUCAGUUAACAAAUGGUUUUGUUUCUUUGUUCCCAGUUCAAAUAAAAUUACCUACAAAUAUGUUGUUUGCCAGGAACAAGCAGCUCUAGAGUCCGAAAAUAAAAACUGAUCACAAUUUACACCGUCUUACUACAAAUAUCAUUCCUUAACUGAAGCAUAACAAACUAAUUCAAAGAGAGUUUUGAUCUAGAUUUUCACAGGGAAGUAAGAAACAUAGUUAACGAUAAAUAAUAAUCAUUUUCACAUAGAACUCAUAAACAUUUUCACAGAGAAAUAAAUGCAUUAAUAGUCUACAAUGAUAACAAUAGUACAGCAGCACUAGAGUCACACCAGAUCCAUAAUAGAGUACCUGAAAAUUUUCAGAUCCAUAGCAUUUUUAGAGAAAUAAAGCAUCACAUAACAGACUAGAGCUUGUCAGACCAAACUAAUAGAUACAACCAACUAGGUAGGCAUAUGAGAAUGGGAGAAGAUAAUUUUCCUGGGACGCAACAUAGCACAAAUUGAUGUUGGUGACAACAGACGAAGUUUGCAGAAACCUUUCAUGAGACAUCGCGCCAUUGGUGGCAGCAUCGCCGAGCUUGUUGGAGACGAGAUUUUUUCCUGAGAGGAGGAAGAGGAGGGCGCUGACUUGGUCCUUCGUGAGGGCUAGUGGUGGUUUGUGAAGCUCCCGGCGGACGGAGCUGUCCUUGGCCACGGCACUGGGGAAGGCAUGAGUGGAUGGGGUUAGGGGAUCUGGGAUAUGCUCACCGCCGUCGGUGGAAACUCGGGCCAGCGAAGAUGCCCAUGUUGUGGCAGCGAAGGGGCCGGGAAAGGCAGGCGAUGGAGGGGGACGGGAAAUCAAGGCUAUGGGCGCCGGUGGCGGCAGGGACGGGUCCGGAGUCUGGACGGAGACCCCGAGGACGGCGGCGGCAGCGGAAAUUGUGGGCAGGGGCGGGGGCGGGUAGGGUUCACGCGAGUGGAUGUGAGGCUACGGGAUU